ensembl:lncRNA ZMIZ1-AS1 ZMIZ1 antisense RNA 1
GGCGAGGCGAGGAAGGGAGCUGGAAUAACAAAGGGAGGUAAUGGGGUAGAUUGGAUACCUCUGGGGUCUUGGAAGAAGCUAUGACUUAUUUACUGUCUACUAUGUGAGUUUUGGGCAUCCUUCUAUCAGCCCUUAUCCCAGGGCAGGAAGAACAGCCUUGAUCCUGGAUCCCAGGCACAGCUGGGUGUCAGACCUGGAGGAGAAGCUCCCAGAGUGACCAAGAUAGAAUCGGCAUGCAGGUGGAUGGUGUUUGAAGUGAAUUGAAUUAGGGGACACCCAGCUGGCAUCUGCUGCAGAACUGAUGACUCGCUUGCUGGUGGGCAGAAAUCUCCAUAAUCUUUCUUUAGCAGAUGAGGUCACUGAGGCUCAGAGAGGCUGAAGCCACUUGCUCAGAGCCGCACAGCAAGCCCACCACCCUGAACCUCCAGAUUACCAACUCAGCAUUGUGUCCUGACAGUGUCAUCAUAGAUGGUCAACACCGUCACCUGGGCAGCACUGAAGCCCAGAGCGGGAGAGACUGGCUCAAGACCAUGGCCUCUCCUGGUCUGACAGUCUCAGAUGCAGUCAUGGAUGGCUUUCUGGAGGAGGUGGUACCUGGUCUGUGGGAAGUAGGGGUCAGCAUCCUGGUCUCUGGGAGCAUCUGCUCCAGAUGGUUUCCCUGGGGCCCCCAGAAGCAGGUGUUUGCGCUAACAGCUCUGCAAGCAGAGAGCUUCAGUGCAUGGCCCUUCUUGCCCUUGUUCCCAGGCACAUGCUGUUCCCCUGGGGCUGAAUACCCCACUUACUUGUAAAUCCCAGUGCUCUCCUGUUCAUUCUGCAGUGCCAGCACAAGUCUCCUCCUUGGGGAAGGCUUUCUGGACUUCCCAGCCCACUGGCCAUUGUUCCGUCUUGCAGGUGCCCCCUCAGGGUGCCUGCUGUAACCGUCACUCACAUAUCUCCCCCACCCAACAGAGGGCCUUGCUUUUGGUCCUGGACCUGCACCUUUGACUGUAUUCUUAGUGAUUUGUCCAAGCCCACCCUGGGAGAUAGGGGCGGUGCCAGGCUAGCACCCAGUUCUCCUGGGUUCUCUGAGAAAGUUCCUACCUUCUUCCCUGGCUCACAAGUAGUACUUAAGCAGUUUUGGUUGUUAAAGAAAAUACUGAAUUUAUUCUUCCAACCACUCAUAUAUAUAUAUAAAUCAGUGUUAUUGAGAAACAAUUUACAAAAUGCACCCAUUUUCACUGUACAGUUCAGUGAAUUUUAACAGGUGUGUACAGUGGUGUAAACACUGCCACACCCAAGAUAUCACACAUUUCCAUCACCCCUCAAAAUCUCCUCAUACCCCUUCCUGAUCAAUCCCUCUUCCUGCCUCAGGCAACAUUUGAUUUGAUUUUAUCAAUAUCGAUUAGUUUUGCAUGUUCUAGAAUGUCCUAUAAAUUGUGAUUAGGCAGUAUGUACUUUCUGUGUAGUGCCAUGCAUGUUGUAUCUUGCAUGAGUAGUUCGGCCCUUUGCAUUGCUGGGUAGUAUUCUGGAGAAUGGACAUUCCACAAUUUGUUUAUCUGUUCACCAAUUGAUAGAAUUUGGGUUAUUUCCAGUUUGGGGAUUUUA